rnacentral:rRNA from 1 species
GUAGGGGGCGAGCGUUGUCCGGAAUUAUUGGGCGUAAAGAGCGUGUAGGCGGCUUGGUAAGUCUGCUGUGAAACCCUGGGGCUCAACCCCGGGCGUGCAGUGGAUACUGCCAGGCUAGAGGGUGGUAGAGGCGAGUGGAAUUCCCGGUGUAGCGGUGAAAUGCGCAGAUAUCGGGAGGAACACCAGUAGCGAAGGCGGCUCGCUGGGCCAUUCCUGACGCUGAGACGCGAAAGCGUGGGGAGCAAACAGGAUUAGAUACCCUGGUAGUCCACGCCGUAAACGAUGGGCACUAGGUGUGGGGGGAGUCGAAUCCCUCUGCGCCGCAGCCAACGCGUUAAGUGCCCCGCCUGGGGAGUACGGCCGCAAGGCUA